rnacentral:lncRNA from 1 species
UAGAAUGCAAAUCUGAAUUUGGAGCAUGUGGUAAUAAAUUAAGUAGAUUAUAUAUGUUGGACUUGGAAACUGAAUUAGGAGAAAACCUGCGAUUUGGACCUGUCACUUGUUUAAACUGCCUGAUUUAGCUUUAGGAGCCGUUACAAAAUUGUACUGUCGCAGUAUCCUCGAGACGAGUACUCCAGGUAGUUUAGAAUACAUUUACGCUCGUGCUGGUGUGCCGAGUGAAUUUUUAUAGGGUCGUUCAGGUUGUUCCGGACUGUUGGGUGCCGUCAGAGUUAACGGUGGACCCGUAUCGCUUUUUUGGCGUCAGAUUGUGCUGAGGGCACGUUACCUGUUGGUUAUUAGACCAGUUUGAGUUGGUUACUUGACUUUGGCUUUUCAGAGCCUGUUUGAGCUCGACAGAGAUACGCUGCAUACUCGGUUGGGUAGCGCCCACGAGUGCCACUCCGAAGUCAAGCUUCGUGCUUUCACGUUGGUGUCGCUCAUGCCAGUUGGACUAGCUCUCCACGGACCAGUUAAUGUGGAUAGAGCUUGAUAGUCGCAACGGGGCAGGGACGGGUGUAUUCACAGUCCCGGGGACGGGUAUGCUUACAGUCCCGAUUGGAUUGGGUCAGAGUUGACAUUUCCUACAGUUGGUUAGUGUAGAGCAUGAUAAUGUAGUGAUCGAUAGCGGUAGAGUUUAUUUCCUGCUUUUCUGACUACUCUUGCUCCCUUCUGUAGACUUGGUGGGUGGACCGAUGUUGUUUUGGGCGGUACCCACUGAGGACUACUUGUUUUUACAGUAGUUCUCACGCCCAGUUGUUACCUAUGUUUUUGCAGAGCCACAGGUUCCGGCUGCUGCACCGUCCGCGGACCAGGAUCGAGGCAAGGGCGUCGCGAGUUAGAGCCCUACCCGACGUGCUGAGCUAGAAGUGCCCCUACUGCAGGUAGAUGUUUUGUUUCGAGUUUAUGUACAUAGUUGACUUAACUCGCCAGUGCGAGUAGCUCUGUAUUUUGGAUUUGAACUAUGUAUAUGAAACUCAGUUUGUUUAGCUUCUGUUUUCUCUAGCAGCUCUCUACUACUGUUCGUAAUAGUGUUUGAUUUACAGGUACAGCUGUCGCUUCGUAUACAGGAAAAAUUUCUUUGUAUAUGGCGGAUUUGUCGGCAUGCCCGGGGAACGUGUAAUCCGGGACGUGACAGAUUAAGUUGGUAUCAGAGCUUUGCUAUAGGUCGUUGGGACCUAGGAAACCUAAGUUUGGCAAACCUUAGAAAAGUAAGACGCGAAAGACGUAAUUUAUUGCGAAAGUCAAUGAUUAUCUGUUCUAACUCCUCCUAGAGUGGGGUGAGUGACCGAAGGAGUUCCUGUUUUGGCCUGAGAAAUUAUGUUGGCUGCAGACGACAUAAUUUUGAAGGAAAACAGGGACCGCCUUCCAGACUUUCGUUGAUUGGGUCGAGAGUGUUGCGUUGUAUCUGACCCCGAUUUGUUCCUUUCAGCUAUGUAUCGUCGCCGAGGUCGACCGUCGUUGCGAGAGCGUGCCCAGUUGGCGCGGGAUCGUGCGGGAUCCCCUGAGAGACCUGAGCAGAUGGAGCAGAGUACUCGGCAGGAGCAGGGUGACAGACCGGAGGCGAGUGCACCCCCUGUUGUGGAGCCGAGUGCGCGACCUGAGGUUAGCGCACCCCUGAAUCUGAGUGCACAGCUGGCUGCCCUGACGGAGGUGACGAGGCAGCAGGGGGAGUUGUUGCAGAGGUUGUGUGAGAGGAUAUCUCAGUCACCGAGUUCAGCACCGAAUGUACCAGAGCAGACUGUUCCACCACCGACUACUCCAGCAUCAGCUCCAGCCGCAGCUAUGCCCCCACUAUUGGAGAUUCCUACAGCGCCAGUUGCGCCUGCCAAGGGACCUGUACCAUUGACAGAGGCCGAGCAGGAGCGGUGGACGGAGAGAUUAGCUCGUUUUCGUCGAUUUGACCCACCAAUCUUCGAUGGCAGAGGCACUGAGGCCUGGAUUGUUGAGGGAUGGGUCAGUGCGAUGGAGAAGUUAUUCGAGGAUCUGUUCGUUCUAGAGUGGGAGCAGGUACCUUUGGGAGUACACUGUCUGUCAGGUGAUGCACAUGAUUGGUUGCGGAGAGCGAGGUGAGACCAGGGACUGGUGGCGACACAGUUGAGGUAGGAUGAAUUCUGUGGAAUGCUGUAUGGGAUGUAUUUCCCCAACAGCAUGAAACAGAAGAUCGAGGAGGACUUGAAGAGGAUCCAGCAGGGUGAGCGGACAGUUCAGGAGUAUGUUCGGGAGUUUACAAGGCUCCUGAACUGUGUUCCGUUCGUGGCCAGAGACGAGGCAAAUAGGGUCUACUUGUUUCAGCAGGGUUUGAGACCCGACCUUUUCAGGUUCGUUAGGGCGCAGAGGUCGAGGACUUUGGAUGCAUCCAUUGAGCAGGCAUUAUGGGAGGAGAGAGGAGAGGUGUCGCUGCGGGAGAGGACUCAGGGGCCGGGACAGAGUCAAGACAGGAAGCGCCCAGCCCCAGAUGACGGAGGUCAGUCGAGUAGCAGACGUCCGCCGAGGCUUCCACGAUCGCGUUCUCAGGGUCGUGGGUUCUCGGGGCAUCAGCGAUCCAGGGACUCGUCAGAGGGGACAAUCAGAGAAGACGCCGCAGUCUGUGAUCUGCGGAGGACCACACUGGCCCAGACAGUGCGAGCAGAGGGAGGGCCGGGUGCUACGGGUGUGGUCAGCCGGGACACAUGAGGGCAGCUUGUCCCCGAGCAGCAUCUCCAGCACCAUCGUCAGCUUCAGCUCCACCAGCACCUCAGCAGUCAUACAGAGCAGCACCGAGUUACCGCCAGGAGGAUAGAUCAUCCAUGCCGCGACAGGGUAAGCGGCGACAGCAGGCUCCGAGUGGCAGAGUCUAUGCAGCACAGAUGGAGGACUCUACGGCAGCCGACCGAGUGGUGGAAGGUAUCACUUUGAUUUCCGGCAUUCGUACUCGUACUCUUUUUGAUACUGGAGCCUCGCAUUCUUUUGUUAGCCGAGCAUUUGCAUUGUUGCAUAGUCUAGAGUUAGGGGCAUUGUUACAGGCACGAGAGGUGCAGAUCCCGGACCAUGUUUUACAGGUUGCAGAGUGUUGUUGGUCAUGUCCGGUGCAGUUGGAUUCGUGGGUUAUGCCCGCAGACCUGUUGGUGCUAGGGCAGUUGCAGGACUUCGACGUUGUACUCGGUAUGGAUUAGCUGGCGCGGUACAAUGCUACGAUUGAUUGUGGAGCGAGGACGGUGACGUUCCGCGAGCCAGGCCAGGAGUUCACUUUCAGAGGCUGCAGGAGUACGUUGUUUGCCACCUGGAUCUCUUCGACGAGGGCUCGACAGAUGUUGAGUAGCGGGUGUAUUGCUUUCUUAGCGACAGUUGUGGAGGUACCUACGGCGGCGCCGAGACUUGAGGACAUUCCAGUAGUCCGCGAGUUUCCGGAUGUGUUUCUCCUGAGUUGACGACGUUGCCGCCUGAGAUGGAGAUUGAGUUUGUCAUUGAUGUAGUUCCUGGAACUGCACCAAUCUCAAAGGUACCUUAUCGGAUGGUGCCGGCAGAGCUAAGAGACACAGCUUCAGGAUUUGAUGGAUAGAGGGUUCGUGAGACCCAGUGUGUCGCCUUGGGGAGCGCCGGUGUUAUUUGUAAAGAAGAAAGAUGGUUCGCUCAGGUUAUGUGUGGAUUACCGGGAGCUGAAUAAAGUGACCAUCAAGAAUAAGUACCCCUUGCCGCGCAUAGAUGAUUUGUUUGAUCAGCUGCAGGGAUCUUAUGUUUUUUCGAAGAUUGAUCUCCAGUCAGGUUACCACCAGUUGAGGGUGAGGGCCGAGGAUGUUCCCAAGACGGCUUUUCGAACUCGGUACAGGCAUUAUGAGUUCACGGUGAUGCCUUUUGGAUUGACGAAUGCCCCUGCCGCAUUCAUGGAUUUGAUGAACAGAGUAUUCAAGCCGUUCUUGGAUAGGUUUGUUGUAGUCUUCAUUGAUGAUAUCCUGAUUUACUCCCGGAGUGAUGCUGAGCAUGAGGAGCACUUGAGGAUUGUGCUACAGCUUCUGCGAGAGAAGCUGUAUGCCAAGUUGAAGAAGUGCGAGUUCUGGCUACAGGAGGUUGCUUUCUUGGGCCACGUGAUUUCAGCCGAGGGCGUAGCAGUGGACCCGAAGAAGAUCGAGGCAAUUCAAGAUUGGCCUAGACCGACGACGGUUACUGAGGUACGGAGCUUCCUGGGACUGGCAGGUUAUUACCGCCGGUUUGUGGAAGGCUUUGCAAAGCUUUCCACACCCCUCACACGUUUGACGCGGAAGGGGAUUUGUUUUGUCUGGAGUGACGACUGUCAGAGGAGCUUUGACGAGUUGAGACUGAGGUUGACGUCGGCUCCUAUCUUUGCCCUUCCGGUGAUGGGGGAUGGAUUUGUGAUCUACAGUGAUGCAUCGCACAGUGAACUUGGUUGCGUGCUGAUGCAGCAUGGUAGGGUAAUUGCUUAUGCUUCACGGCAAUUAAAGGAUUAUGAGAAGAAUUACCCUACGCAUGACUUGGAGCUUGCCGCGGUGGUUUUUGCUUUGAAGCUCUGGCGGCAUUACUUGUACGGCGAGCACUGCGAGGUCUUCACCGAUCAUAAAAGUCUCAAGUAUCUGUUCACACAGAGGGAACUGAACCUGAGACAGUGCCGGUGGUUGGAGUUACUGAAGGACUAUGACAUUAGUAUUCAGUAUCAUCCCGGCAAGGCCAAUGUGGUGGCAGAUGCAUUGAGCAGGAGGUCAGUGCAGAGCCUGCGUUUGAGGAUUACUGAACAGAGACCCCUACUCGAGAAGCUACAGCGGCUGGGACUUGAGGUAGUACCCCCUGGGUCUACGGCGAGGCUGACGUCUCUAGUGUUGCAGCCCACUCUGUUCGAUAGGAUCCGAGAGAAACAGAGUGGAGAUCCGUACUUGUUGAGGGUUAAAGAGCAGCUAGACAGGGGGCAGACUGAGGGUUUUGCGUUGGACAGUUCGGGAGUACUUCGGUACAGGGACCGAUUGUGUGUGCCUGUGGAUCCUGAGAUUCGGGCGGAUAUUCUGAAAGAGGCUCAUUGUUCCCCUCAUACGGUUCACCCUGGGGGAAUCAAGAUGUAUAAGGAUCUUAAGGCACAGUUCUGGUGGCCUAGAAUGAAGCGGAACAUUGGCAGAUUUGUAGUUCAGUGUUUGACUUGCCAACAGGUGAAGGCCGAGCAUCAGAUGCCUGCUGGCAAGCUUCAGAGUCUGUCAGUGCCCGAGUGGAAGUGGGAGCUCAUCACAAUGGACUUCGUCGUUGGAUUGCCUAGAGCGCAGGGUGGCUACGACGCGAUUUGGGUGAUAGUGGACAGACUGACCAAGUCUGCUCACUUCCUACCGGUUCAGACUACUUGGUCCAGGGAGAGACUCGCACAGCUAUACUUGGAUGAGAUCGUUAGGCUGCACGGCGUGCCAGUGUUGAUUAUAUCAGACAGAGACCCGAGGUUUGUAUCACAUUUUUGGAGGAGUUUGCAGACAUCCUUGGGUACACAGUUGCAUUUCAGCACGGCGUUCCACCCACAGACGGAUGGUCAGUCAGAGCGGACCAUACAGACUCUAGAGGACAUGCUGAGGGCAUGCGUCCUGGAUUUUGGAGGAGGGUGGUAUCGACAUGUGAGACUGGUUGAGUUUGCGCACAACAACAGCUAUCAAACGAGCAUUCAGAUGGCUCCGUUUGGGGCGUUGUAUGGACGCAGAUGUCGAUCCCCCCUGUUUUGGAGUGAUGUGGGUGAGCGAAGGACACUGGGGCCGGAGAUUUUACUUGAGGCUGAGGAAAAGGUGAGAGUCGUUCGACGACACCUUUUGACAGCACAAAGCCAACAGAGGAGCUACGCCGAUACCAGGAGACGAGACUUGGAGUUUCAGGUUGGAGAUCAUGUUUUUUUUCAAAGUCUCGCCGUCCAGAGGGAUACGCCGAUUUGGAGUACGUGGAAAGCUUAGUCCACGGUUUGUUGGCCCUUUCGAGGUAUUGGAACGUAUUGGACCAGUUGCAUACAGGAUAGCUCUACCCCCGCGACUUGCUGGCAUCCAUGAUGUUUUCCACGUCUCAGCACUGAGGAGAUACGUUUUCGACCCCUCUCACGUGAUUGACUUCACUCCACUCGAGAUUAGCGAGGAUCUGAGAUACGAGGAGCGACCGUUACGGAUUCUUGCUCGAGAGACGAAAGAAUUGCGCAACCGGGUCAUCCCGUAUGUGAAAGUGCAGUGGAGCCAUCAUGAUGAGCGGGAGGCGUCUUGGGAGCCUGAGACGGUGAUGAGGGAAGCCUAUCCCUAUUUGUUUGAUGCCUGAGCAGAUGUACGUUUCAGUUUCGCGGACGAAACUUUUCGUAGUGGGGGAGGAUGUGAGAUCCCUGGUGUUCAGCUGUGGAGGCUUGUCAGCAGCUCUGGAGAGUGUCGGGACAAGUUUGAGUCGCGUUGGCGUCAAAUAAACGUAAAACGGGCUCCGUGCAACGCGAUGGCAGUUUUUAGCGAAGAAAAUUUGCAAUUUGCUCAUUUUCUGCUUGCUGUACCGGUACAGCCAUCGUGGUGUACCGGUACACUACACAGAUUACGCGCAUACUGCUCUCGGGUUGGCUUCCUGUACCGGUACGCGAUCCCGUGUACCGGUACACCAGGGUAGGUGAGAGGGUGUUUUGGUCUUUUUCUACCUCGUUCGUAUCACCCUCCUCUCCCCAGCUUAUUUACAUGUAGAGUGAGGCUGAGAGAGAGAGUUUUGCUCUUGGUUUCCUCCUUCUCUCUCUCUAGAGCCGAUUGUGGGCAAGGUGGAGCUCGGGUGGAGUUUCGUCGCCGACGUGGUGCCGCGGAGCCAUUCGGGCGCACGUUGUGUCGUCUUGGUGCUGUGAGGAGCUCGGGCGAGCGUAGAUUUCCGUCGUCCUCGACAUUGCGCCGACUCUUGAGGAUCUAUCGAGGUGAGUGCUCUGUGGAAUUGCUGCGCAUACUUCGGGUAUCAUCAAUUCGAGCUUAAGUGCUGAUUCGCAGGAUCUUGUCGUCGACUGUUAGUAUUUCAGCUCGUUCUCGACGUAGGAGCAUCGGAUUGCGACGAGACUUGGUUCGUUGGAUUCGGGACUUCGAGAGGAAUCCGCGAAGCCCUUACUUGUUGGAUUUGGUGAAGGUUAGCUUGGUCGAAUCCCUUUUCUACUCUGUUGCUGCGAAAUUGGGACUGAAUUGGUAGAUUUUGAUCGUAGAGCUUGGAGUUAGCUCGAGUGCUAGACUUGGAGGGUUCCUGUUGAUCCAGCAGGGGUCACUUUGGUUCGAGGCCUUGUUCGCUGCCAGGAGCUAGCUUCUUGAGGUGGGUUACAUCGGUUUUGACUCCUAAGUUCAUAAUCGUCAACAUGUAUAGAUCUCGAUUUUGAUAAUUUAUUCUAGCUCGAAUUCAUGGAUUAUAUGAUAGAAUGCAAAUCUGAAUUUGGAGCAUGUGGUAAUAAAUUAAGUAGAUUAUAUAUGUUGGACUUGGAAACUGAAUUAGGAGAAAACCUGCGAUUUGGACCUGUCACUUGUUUAAACUGCCUGAUUUAGCUUUAGGAGCCGUUACAAAAUUGUACUGUCGCAGUAUCCUCGAGACGAGUACUCCAGGUAGUUUAGAAUACAUUUACGCUCGUGCUGGUGUGCCGAGUGAAUUUUUAUAGGGUCGUUCAGGUUGUUCCGAACUGUUGGGUGCCGUCAGAGUUGACGUUGGACCCGUAUCGCUUUUUUGGCGUCAGAUUGUGUUGAGGGCACGUUACCUGUUGGUUAUUAGACCAGUUUGAGUUGGUUACUUGACUUUGGCUUUUCAGAGCCUGUUUGAGCUCGACAGAGAUACACUGCAUACUCGGUUUGGUAGCGCCCACGAGUACCACUCCGGAGUCA